GCGGGGGUAGCCAAGAUGGCCAAAGGCGCAGGACUUAAGAUCCUGUCCAGAGAGGUUCGUGGGUUCGAAUCCCACCCCCCGCA
rnacentral:tRNA from 1 species